CCUUAUCAUUCUUGCGCCCCGU
rnacentral:miRNA from 11 species